GAACAGCUGGGGCGAAAUUGAAAGGUUUGUUUACAAAGUGCAUAAUAAAUCGCGGAUUUACGGAAUUAUUUAAUUUUAAAUGUAAUUGAACAAAUACCAGCGGGCUGCCAGCGGGUCAGUUGCUGGUAACAAUUUGCAGGACGAUUCCACGGUGAUCGUUGCAUCGUCGUCAAUUAGUGAACUCACUACUUUUCCGGCAGCCGCAACAAACGCUGGCCCAAGCCUGCAAAUUGCCAGCAACUGACCCGCUAGCUGCACACUGGCAUUUGUUCAACUACUCAAAAAUGCACUUUGUAAACAAACUUUUGGGUGUUUGCCACAUCAAGCGGCUCAUCUGGAUGAAAUGAA